UACGAGAGGUGCAAGCGUUAUUCGGAAUUAUUGGGCGUAAAGGGCGCGUAGGCGGGUCAUUAAGUUUGUUGUUAAAUCCUCUGGCUUAACCAGAGACAAGCAAUAAAAACUGGUAACCUAGAGCGUGAGAGAGAGAAGUGGAAUUCCCGGAGUAGCGGUAAAAUGCGUAGAUCUCGGGAGGAACACCAAUGGCGAAGGCUGCUUCUUGGCUCAUUGCUGACGCUGAGGCGCGAAAGCGUGGGGAGCAAACAGGAUUAGAACCGUACCGAC
rnacentral:rRNA from 1 species